rnacentral:rRNA from 1 species
ACGGCUCAGUAACACGUGGCUAAUCUGCCCUUGGGACAAGAACAACCCCGGGAAACUGGGGCUAAUUCUCGAUAGGUGAAGAACUCUGGAAUGAGUCUUCGCUUAAAAGAGGCUGGGGUUAUGCUCUCCAGUUUCGCCCAAGGAUGAGGCCGCGGCCGAUCAGGUUGUUGGUGAGGUAAUGGCUCACCAAGCCUUUUACCGGUGCGGGCCGUGAGAGCGGGAGCCCGGAGAUGGGCACUUAGACAAGGGCCCAGGCCCUACGGGGCGCAGCAGUCGCGAAAACUUUGCAAUAAGCGAAAGCUUGACAGGGCUAUCCCGAGUGCCAUCCGCUGAGGAAGGCUUUUACCCAGUCUAGAACGCUGGGGGAAUAAGGAGAGGGCAAGUCUGGUGUCAGCCGCCGCGGUAAUACCAGCUCUCCGAGUGGUGUGGAUGUUUAUUGGGCCUAAAGCAUCCGUAGCUGGCCAGGUGAGUCCCCUGUUAAAUCCACCGAAUUAAUCGUUGGAUUGCGGGGGAUACUGCUUGGCUAGGGGACGAGAGAGGCAGACGGUAUUUCCGGGGUAGGGGUGAAAUCCUAUAAUCCCGGGAAGACCACCAGUGGCGAAGGCUGUCUGCUAGAACGCGCCCGACGGUGAGGGAUGAAAGCUGGGGGAGCGAACCGGAUUAGAUACCCGGGUAGUCCCAGCUGUAAACGAUGCAGACUAGGUGUUUGGACGGCCACGUGCCGUUCUAGUGCCGCAGGGAAGCUGUUAAGUCUGCCGCCUGGGGAGUACGAUCGCAAGAUUGAAACUUAAAGGAAUUGGCGGGGGAGCAC